AAACUCAAAUGAAUUGACGGGACCCGCACAAGCAGCGGAGCGUGUGGUUUAAUUCGUUGCUACACGAAGAACCUUACCUGGGUUUGACAUAUAGGUUGUAGGGAACUGAAAGGGACCGACCUUCGGGAGCCUAUACAGGUGUUGCAUGGCUGUCGUCAGCUCGUGUCGUGAGAUGUUCGGUUAAGUCCGCUAACGAGCGCAACCCUCGUCGUAUGUUAUAUGUGUCAUACGAGACUGCCGGUAAAAGCCGGAGGAAGGUGAGGAUGAUGUCAAGUCAGCAUGACCUUUAUAUCCAGGGCUACACACACGCUACAAUGGUCUGUACAAUGGGUAGCCAAGCCGCGAGGCGGAGCCAAUCCUGAAAGCAGGCCUCAGUUCAGAUUGCAGUCUGCAACUCGACUGCAUGAAGCCGGAGUUGCUAGUAACCGCAGGUCAGCAAUACUGCGGUGAAUACGUUCCCGGGUCUU
rnacentral:rRNA from 1 species